UCCCUGGUGGCCUAGUGGUUAAGGAUCCAGCAUUGUCACUGCUGUGGUGUGGGUUCGAUCCCUGGCCCAGGAA
rnacentral:tRNA from 1 species